rnacentral:rRNA from 1 species
GGACCAAGGAGUCUAGCAUGUGCGCGAGUCAUUGGGACUCUGCGAAACCCAAAGGCGAAAUGAAAGUGAAACUUGCGCACGCAAGUCGAGGGAGGAUGGGUCGCUCCACAAAGCGGCCCCGCACUCCCGGGGCGUCUCGUUCUCAUCGCGAGAAGAGGCGCACCCAGAGCGUACACGCUGGGACCCGAAAGAUGGUGAACUAUGCCUGGUCAGGACGAAGUCAGGGGAAACCCUGAUGGAGGUCCGUAGCGAUUCUGACGUGCAAAUCGAUCGUCGGAACUGGGUAUAGGGGCGAAAGACUAAUCGAACCAUCUAGUAGCUGGUUCCCUCCGAAGUUUCCCUCAGGAUAGCUGGCGCUCGUCUGAGACGAGUCUCAUCCGGUAAAGCGAAUGAUUAGAGGCAUUGGGGUCGAAACGGCCUCAACCUAUUCUCAAACUUUAAAUGGGUGAGAUCUCCGGCUUGCUCGAACAGUUUGUUGAAGCCGCGAGAUCUAUCGGGCGCGAUCUCGGUCGCGCCCGAUUCAAGGAUCAGAGUGCCAAGUGGGCCACUUUUGGUAAGCAGAACUGGCGCUGUGGGAUGAACCAAACGCAGAGUUAAAGCGCCCAAAUCGACGCUUAUGGGACACCAUGAAAGGCGUU